AGUGCUUGCACUCAAUUGGAAAGAGGAGUGGCGGACGGGUGAGUAACACGUGGGUAACCUACCCAUCAGAGGGGGAUAACACUUGGAAACAGGUGCUAAUACCGCAUAACAGUUUAUGCCGCAUGGCAUAAGAGUGAAAGGCGCUUUCGGGUGUCGCUGAUGGAUGGACCCGCGGUGCAUUAGCUAGUUGGUGAGGUAACGGCUCACCAAGGCCACGAUGCAUAGCCGACCUGAGAGGGUGAUCGGCCACACUGGGACUGAGACACGGCCCAGACUCCUACGGGAGGCAGCAGUAGGGAAUCUUCGGCAAUGGACGAAAGUCUGACCGAGCAACGCCGCGUGAGUGAAGAAGGUUUUCGGAUCGUAAAACUCUGUUGUUAGAGAAGAACAAGGACGUUAGUAACUGAACGUCCCCUGACGGUAUCUAACCAGAAAGCCACGGCUAACUACGUGCCAGCAGCCGCGGUAAUACGUAGGUGGCAAGCGUUGUCCGGAUUUAUUGGGCGUAAAGCGAGCGCAGGCGGUUUCUUAAGUCUGAUGUGAAAGCCCCCGGCUCAACCGGGGAGGGUCAUUGGAAACUGGGAGACUUGAGUGCAGAAGAGGAGAGUGGAAUUCCAUGGGUUAGCC
rnacentral:rRNA from 1 species